AAGCAAUUUAAACAACUUAUCUCAAGUACUUGUGACCAAUUUUCCUCUUCUUCAAAUAAUCAAAAAUUUGAAGUAACAAAGAGAGAUCAAAGCUUUAGAGAGAAUGUGACGCCCCCAAAAUAGGUAUACAUCACCCAUCUUGGGUCGCCAAAUACACGGUACUGAAUACAAAUAUAAACUUAAUUAUACAACAAGAGUUGAAAGUUUUUACACGAAUAUUGUCUCAUAGACAAUAUCCAAACUCAAAUUCAAUCCUCAUUACAUUUAUUAUCACACUAAAUAGUAAGGAUUACUAAAACAACCAUC
rnacentral:lncRNA from 1 species